rnacentral:lncRNA from 1 species
GUACUCAGGGGAUGGAUUGCUGACGGGGGAGGACGGAGGUGGCACUUCGACGGACGUGGCGGAUUUGGCUGGAGAAAACGAUGGCACUGGUGAAGGGGUUGGCGGGGCAGCCUCUGUCAAGAUAAUUUCUUCUCGGACUUCUGCUAUGGGUAGAGAAAGGGUAGAUUCUCAGAGCCAAAGGUCAAGGCAAGUUGUCUUCAAAGGACUUUAAAAAUUGAAAUAUUCUUUCUGAUCUGUGUGUCAUGUCACCCCUCUGCUUAAAGCCCUUUGAUGGUUUCGAAUCACCAUCAAGGCAUGCAAGCAGUUCCCAUACACAGCCAUGCCCACUCCAAAGAAGAAAAGGACAUCACUGCUUUCACACCACUUGGCCUGCCCACUACAACUAAAUUCUUCGGAAUAAAGAGCUAAAGCAACACAGAGCAUAGAAGCAAGGAUGCAAAUCAAACUGCCAAGUAGGGCAAUUCCCAGUGAAAAGCUGGCUUACCAGUGCUUCCUUCUCCCUUCAUGGCUCGCAUGAGCUCAUUGGCCCGCUCCUGACAGUGCAGGGAUUCUAAUAGGUAGAGCACGUAGUCGUCAAACAUCAAGUGAAUUAAGUGAAAAGACCCUGGUGGGAGAAGAUCCAAACAGAAAGGUAAGUCAUGGCAGCGCACGUACGCCCCUCCACCUGGUUAACAGCCCGUGUCGUUGGGCUUGUACUCUAAUGCUCUGUUCAAGACUCUCACUCCCUACUCCAUUAUCAUCUCCACAUGGUCAAAAGUUGCUCUUCUUUGCUGUGUCCUCAGCCUAGCCUAGUGCUCGACAUAAGGUAAAUGGCACUAACACUUUGUAGCAAGUGCGUCUUUUUCCUUGCUCAAACUAGCUCAUCAAAAAUGGUGCCCAUUGAGCCAUCUGUCCAAAUGUUUCUGAGCCCUCACAUACCCACUGGCCUCGUCCUCAUUUGAGCACCACUUACUGUGUUCAGUGUGUGUUGACAUGGUGUCUUUCAUUUUUAUCUCUUCUACAAGUAUGUCCUAUUUCCCUGAUUGGACUUUAAGGAUGUCCAUGGCAGAGAUUUUGCCUUCUAGUUCACUAUACCAAUGUUACCUGACAGGAUUCCAGAAGCAGAACUGAAAAUUGAAACCUGUAACAACUGAAUUAUUUCCUUAAAUGUUUCUGAGACCUUUGUUUAACACACGGUUCUCAGAAAAGGUAUUAGAUUGGGGCGCCUGGGUGGCUCAGUCAGUUGAGCGUCUGACUCUGGCUCAGGUCACGAUCUUGUGGUCCGUGAGUUCGAGCCCCACGUCGGCCCCUGUGCUGACAGCUCAGAGCCUGGAGCCUGCUUCGGAUUCUGUCUCCCUCUCUCUCUCUGCCCCUCCCCCGCUCACUCUCUGUCUCUCUCUCUCUCUCUCAAAAAUGAAUAGAUGUUAGAAAAGGUAUUAGAUUGGAAAUAUGGUAUUCUCAAAUAAGACUCUUCAUUCUUAAUUUAGAGUAGACUGUUUCAUAAAAAGGGAUGUGAUCAUCUUAAGACAUUUUUCCAAUGUGCCAGUCUCUGUGUUCAAAGUCUUAUAUUCUCUAACUUAAUCUCUUACCACCCUGUAAGAUAGGUACUUUCAUUCUUACUAUAAUACAUUAUUUCAAAACCAUCUUUUCUGGCAUGUCAUGCUGCCACCAUGGACAGUGGAAUGAUCCACAUAUGGAAGGGGCUCAGUUAAUGUCUGCUGUAAUCAAGCCUCAGGAAUGCCAGGGUCAGAGGGGCCAAACCUUCAUCUCUGGUCUCAUGUUUCCAACUCCCAAGGGAACAUCUCCAUGUGGAUAUUCUACUUCCCAUGAAAAGUCCAAAACUUCUCACCCACCUAUCCUACAAGCUGACCUCCUCUUCCCAUUUCCCUCCAGUCUGCUUUUUUAGAGGACCUCUGAGACUCUCUGGUAUUACUUAUACUGUGACUCCAUCAUCACCACCACCACUAUUAUCAUUAUCCUCGUCAUCAUCGUCAUUAUCUGCUGAAUGCUUACUGUGUGCCAAAACUCUGCUAAGCAAUUAACACAGGUCUCCUCCUUACCACAAACAGUGGGGUAGGUGGUACUGUCCUCCCUUAUUGAGCAGGAAAGGAGUGUCUCCAUUAGGAGUAUGUAGGGAUUUGCCUCAGUUUGAUCUGGCUCCAAAAUCUGUUCCCGUUCCCUUACAGAUCAUCCAGUCCAGUCUGCUCACAGCCCAGAUGGGGGAAAAAGGCGUUGGUCCUAGCAGGGCCCUUUGAGUUGGGAGCUAUGCCUUUUCAAGUCUCAGUUAAAAGGUGAUGGGGCUAUAGCUCCAGUUGCACAACUGGUUAGUGUGUAAUACUUGUAAGAAAUAAGGUGUUAGGGGUCUUCUGGGAGUGAUGGGACAGCACCUUCUUGGUGGAAUUUACUACCAAUUUUCUUUUUAAUUCUAUCUUCUUGGUGGAACUUAUCAAUUUUCCUUUUAAUUGUACCUGACUUUGUCAGACAGACACACACACACACACACACACACGCACACACACACACCACUUUCCAUCCACUUCCCCUAAAUGGGUCCUGUGAACCACUGAGGAGGUAGCACUGUGGGCAACUGUGUGGGCACUGGAUCACUCUGCCCAGGUUGAGAUCCAGCUCUGCCACUGCAUCACUAAGACCCUGGAUGAGUUACCCUUAGUAAAUGUUACAAAAUCAGCCAUUUCUUGAGCCCUUGCUCUGUGGCAAAUUCAUUAUCUGUGUAGAUCUGUGUAAAUGUGCAGACUUAUUAUAACACUUAACCCUCAUCACAACUGUAAGAGAUAAGGGAUACUCUCCUUUUGCAAAGGAGGACAUUGAGACUUACAGAGGGAAAGUAAGUGUCCAAUGUCACAUAAUUAUUAACUGGAGGAACUGGGACUUGAACCCAAGACUGUCUGAUUCUGGAGUUCUUUGAUCAUUGUACAACAUAGCUCUCUAAAAGGGGGGGCGGUAAAACCCCUUGUUUUGGUUACAGAAGUACUAACCAUAAUGAGGAAAGGGACAGACUAGAUGUUUAAUGAAUGGUAACUGCUUGUUAUUAUUAUCUGUAAAGUCCCUUUUGCUACUAAUGUCCUAAGAUCUCAUAGGAUAUCAUAUCAUAAUAUGAUUGCUUUGUCCAUAUAGUCAAAGAAUUCAGAAGAGAACAUCAAAUACUUUAAAGGAAAGGGUCUCCAAAAAUGAAGAAAUACUUGCUCCAAUGUUGCUCUAGGUCAAUAAGGAUAGAAAGAUAGAAACAUGCUGUGAAACAAUGAAUUAAAAUGGAAAACCCUAGAUAAUGAAAAUGGCAUUAGUAGUUGUAUCACAGGCAAGCACCUUGGAAAUCAUUCAUACACCCUCCUCUUUUAUAGACAAGGAAACAAAGAUCUGAUACGGUGAAGAAAUUUGCCUAAAACCACACUGUUAGAAACAGCAGAUUGGGGCUUGGAGGCCAGUAAUGUUCGGGCUACAGGCUCUCUUCCUUAAUGGCUCCAAUCAGUUACCCAACUGGUCUGAUAAUUUUCAAUCACUUUUGAACACAGAGUUUGUAGAGCUACUGCUGUGUGCCUACUACUGUGCUAAGUGCUCCAAGUACAAAAGAAACCUGAAGCUCAGUUCCUGACUCCACAAAAGCUACAGGGUCCUUUGCAGCAGAAGUCAAUCAUUAAGACAACUGGGAAACAAACAGUUCAGUACUGGUGGGGGGGGGGGGGGGGGGGGGGNGGAGGGAGGAGGACGGAGGCAGGGUGGGGGGCGUCAUGGCCACCGGAGUAGUGCCAGGAGAAGAGGAGGGCAAAGUAAAAAAGGGGAUACAGAAAGACACAGAGAGGGUGGGGUGGGAGGAAAGGGGAGAAAGAGAGAAAUAUCGAAGACAGGUAAAAGGCAGUUGCAGCUAACAUCCCCUGCUUUAUUUCUCUCCCUAGCACUUAUCACCAUUACCUAUACUAUAUAACCUAUUUAUCUUUAUCAUGUGCCUCCCUACACCAGACCAUAAGCUCCAUCAAUGCAGUGUUUUCACUGUUCCCUAUACCCAGUGUCUACAACAGUGCCAGGCACAGAGCAGAGGCUCAGUGACUGUCGGUUAGAUCAACCAGUCAAAUGCCCAAGCACUGUUUACCAUAUGCACUGUACUAAGUCCCCUUUCCAACACUGUGAGGAGGUAUUACUAUUGUCUUCAACUAAUCCAUGGGGAAAUGAAGGCUCAGAGGGUUUGAACAACUUGCCUAAAGUCACAGAGUUAACAUCAGAGCCUGUCAUGGAAAAAGGUAUUAGGAUACAGACAAAGGAGACUUUUGUUGUUGUUGCUACAGGUUAAUAUAGUUGAUCACAUUGCAUAGAACCAAAGCAUUUCUCUUUUCUUAUGAAAAAUUUCAAACAUACAAAAAAGUACACAGAAUUUUUAAAUGAACAUCAGUGUAUUCAAGUCCUAGCUUUACAAUAUCUUAUUAUUUUUACUAUAUUUGAAUCAGAUUUGGGUGUUUUUGUUUGUUUGUUUUUUUAAGCAGGCUCCAAACCCAGGGCAGAGCCCAAUGCUGGGCUUGAACUCAUGACCCUGAGCUCAAGAUCUGAACUGAGGUCAAGAGUCAGAUACUCAACUGACAGAGCCACUCAGAUGCCCCAGAUUUGUUUUUUAAUUGAAGAUAAAGAUGAAGCCUCUGUGUUCUCUUCCUUAAUUGUAUUUCUCUGCUUUCUUGUGUUCAACCCCUGAGGUAAUCACUGACUUGAAUCUGGUAUUUAUUUGUUCACAUGCGUUUUUCUACUCUUACUAUAUGUAUUUAUGUAUCCAUAAAUAACAUAUGGUAUUGUUUUCUGUUUUCAAACUUGAUAUAAAUGGUAUCAUACUUUACAGAGCAUUCUACAACUUGCUUUGGGCAAUCUAUCCACAUGGAUGCAUAUAGCCUAAUUUGAUGGCCACUGUUUGAAUAUGCCACAAUGUAUUCAUCCAUUCUCCUGUUGAUGGAAUUUUGGUUGUUUAUAAUUUCCCACUAUUGGAAAAUGGCCCUAAUGAAUAUUUUCUGUACCUGUUUCUUGGGUCUGCUGGGUCCAAGAGCUGCCUGCAUAUUCACUCUUAUGAGACAGUGUCAGAUAGCUCACCAAAAUUUUUUACAUUCCUACUGGUAGUAUAUGAAAUAUAGUAUUUGCCAGUCUGAAGGGUGUGAAAUGUUAUCUUAUUGUGUUUAUAGUUUGUAUUACUCUAGUUACUAGAAAGGUGUACGUCUCUUCAUAUGAUUAUCGUCCAUUUGAAUUUCCCCUUCUGUGAAUUACCUAUUCAUAUUCUCAUUUUUCUAGUGGGAUAUCUGAAUAAUAUUGCGGCAUGUGAAUUUCUUUGUGGGUAUUUAAAUAAUUUAUUUAGAGGGGUUUAUUAUAUAUUCUGGAUAGUAACCCUUUGUUAUAUGCACUGCAAAACAUGUUCUCCUCUUCUGUGACUUUUACCUUUUAACUUUGUUAAUGGUGUGCUUAUUAAUCACAAGUGAAAUCCAGAUGUGGUUCAUUUUUGCAAUCUUUUCUUUAUGACUGGUCCUUUUUUGUACCUUUUUAAAGAAAUAAAUUACUAUGUCAAGGUCAUAAAAAUAUCAUUCCUUAUUUUCGUCCAAAAGGUUUAAGGUCUUCCCCCCUCCCCCAUUUAGAUGUUUCUUUUCAGAUGUUGUAGAGGAGGGGUCUAAUAUUUAUGUACCCCAAAGUGCUUGUCCAGAAGAAAUUUGCCUAAUCCACUGACUUUUAAUGCCAUUUCUGUCAUAUAUACAAUCCUCUUGUUUAACAGACAAGGGGAAAAGCAUCUGAUGAGGCGAAAGCAAGUUUCGUGUCCAUCUCUCUUGGGCACCUCUGUUCUGUUUCAUUGCUCUACUGGUCUAAUUAUGUUACAAGCCCACACUGUCUUACUCCAUAACAAACCUGAAUAUCAGGUAAGUGAGUCCCUAUGUCUCGUUCUUCUUUCCCUUCAAAAUGUCUUUACGACUCUUGGCCUUUUGAAUUUUUACAUCAGAUUGUCAAAGGGAAAAAGGGACUGGAUUGGAAUUCUGUUGAAUUUAUGUAUUAAUUAGUAAGAUCUCCUUGAUGUUGACUCUUUGCAAACACGAACACGGUAUAUUUCAAUAAUAGUUUAAAAAAUUCUCCUUGAAGAUCUUCAGGCAAUUUUUGUCAGAAUUAUUUUAUAGGUAUCCUUUAGUUUCUGUUGCUAUUUUGAAUGGUAUAUGCCUGCAUAUACUUAAUAUAUAUUAGUAUAUACUUAACACAUACUUUAUACACACACACACACACACAAUUAUAUUUUCUAAUUAGGUUCUGGGUAGUGCUAAGAAUGCCAGUGAUUUUUAAAAAACUGAAUUGAGUAAUCCAGUUGAAUUCUUAUUUGUUCUAUCAGUUUGUAGACUGUCUUUUGUCAACCAUCAUGACAUCUGUAACUAAAGGCAAUUUUGUGCUUUCUUUUCCAAUUCUUACAUUUCAUUCCCUUUAGUUAUUAUAUUGGCUAGGACCUCCAGUCAAUAGUUAUUAGAAACAGUGUUAAAGGCAUUCUGGUCUUCAUGAUUUGAGUAAGAAAAUUUCUAAAGUUGGAGCACUUGGGUGGCUCAGUUGGUUAAGCGUCCAACUUCGGCUCAGGUCAUGAUCUCAUGGUUUGUGAGUUAAAGCCCUGUGUCAGGCUCUCUGCAGUCAGCAAGGAGCCUGCUUUGGAUCUUCUGUCCCCUUCCUGCUUUGCUCCUCCCCCCCCACUCUCUCCCUCCCUCUCUUCUCAAAAAUAAACAAACAUUAAAAAAGAAAACUUCUAAAGUUUUACCAGUUAGUGUCAUGUUCACUGCAGAUUUUUGGUUGCCCUUUAACAUUUAAAAAAAAUUCCCCUGUAUUCCCAGUUUGCUAAGAGUUUUUUUUUUUUUUUUAAAUAAUACUUGGGGAGCUGAAUUAUAUCAAAUGCUUUUUUCCCUGUAUAUCUAUAGAGAAGAUCAUAUGAUUUUUCUCUUUUCAUCUGUUAAUACUGUAUGUUAGUUUCUUUUCUGACUUUGAAUCAUACUUGAGUUCUUGUCAUAAACCUUAUUAAUCAUGAUUUAAAAAUGUUUGCUGCUGGAUUUGACCUGCUAGUAUUUUACUUAGAAUGUUUCAUCUAUAUUUAUGUGUGGUUGGGUAGGAAUUAUUUUUCCCCUACCAUUCUUCCAAAGUUUUGAAAUUGAGGUUGUAUUAGCUUCAUAAUUGAGAUGAGAUUAGCUUCAUGAGUUGUAUAGGUUUCCUUUUGUUUUUAUUGCCUGAAACAUCAAUUUUCAUAAUCAUUUUCAUUAACUAAGGAUUUUAUGUUUCUUAUAAGUUUAGUAAAAGUUGCCUGUAAAAACACUUACGUCAGAUGUUUUUUUGAAGGAAGAGGCUUUUUCAUCUACUGUGAUGAUUAUUUGAUCUUAUUUCUAGCAAUCUAAUUUUAUGUUUUUGUUUACCGUCUUUUAUCUAUGCUUCUUUUAUCUUGCCAUCUCUUUUCAUAAUUUUCCACUUUCCUUGGCAAAUUUUAAUUACUCAGUGAUGAUUCUUAAUUUAUUAACAUAUAUCCCAUACAUUUUAAAAGUCCAAACUACUUUUUUUUCAGCGAAGUCUAAAGUUAUUUAAUAUUCCGAGACAAAAACCUUUAUGCUUUAACUGGUCUUUGGAGAUUCUCUUCUCACCAUCUCAUGUUACAUUGUAGCCUAAAACCUGCUUUGACAAUUUUUAAACACACAAAAACUAUUUUUUAAAUUAUAAUCAGUAAUUAAAUGUGCUUACAAAUUUAAGAAUUUCUCUCAUCUUAAAAUAAGGCCUCCAAAUGGUUUGACCUUCCUUCCCUGGAUAAGGGGGGGUGUCUAUGUGACCCGCUUCCAUCUUGGUAGGUUUGUGACUCCUUUGACCAACACUGUGUGGGGGGGGGGAAGGGACACUUUAACUUUGGGGACUGGGUCAUAAAAGGCGAUGUGGUUCCCCCCUGAAACAGUGAGCCGCGAUGUGAGAAGUUUUAACUGUUCAGGGGCCACCAUGUGGUGUGGACGCUGAGCCACAUGAAGUGGCCAUCAAAGGCAUCCUGAUCGCAGUCCUAUCUUGAAGUCAUCCAAACCCAAGCACAGACAUGUAUGUGAGGGAAGAAGCCUCCAGAUGAUUCUAGCCUCUAGCUGUUGAUGCCCUACUGUCUUUGAGUGUUCCCAUCUGAGGUGCAGAGUAGAGAUGAGGUCAGAGGUCAUAAAGCAGAGACAAGCCAUCCUUGCUGUGCUGUGUCCAAAUUCCUGACCCACCAGAAUCCGUAAGCAUAACAAAAGGACUGUUUUAAGCCACUAUGCUUCGGGGUAAUUUGUCACACAACAACAAUAACUAAAACAUGGUUGUUUCUGUUGCCCAGACCUUAGCUAUGGCUUUAUUUUCCUUCUUGCUGAAAUGCAUCCUUUCAGUGCUUUUUAAAGUGAUGUUCUAUGGGGCCAGAUUUUCUUAGUCUUUGUAGAACUGACUAGGUCUUUACUUUGCCCUCACUCUUGAAUAAUGGUUGACAGUUCUUUAUUCUCAACAGUUGAAAGAUAUUAUUUCUGGAGUCCCUUCUUACUCAUGAUAGACUAGUUAUUGUUCUGUUCUCUCAUAGCUUCAAAAAAUAUUUUAAAUCUUAUCAAUACGGAUUUUUAAAAGUCCACCAGGGAGGAUUAAACAAAUUUGUCCAGACUUCUGGUGCAAUGCGUCUGAGCCCAGGGCGUUUGUGUGAGUUGUGGUAACUGAAGAAGCGUGGGUUUUGUGGCCAGGCAGAUCUGAUUUUGAAGCAGAGCUCUGGCCCCUUGCUCCCUUGCCAUACUGAUCUCAGGCGAGAAAAUUCUCCAAGCUUCCUUUCCACCUCUUAUUAUCUGCCUUGCAGAGUUAACGGGAGAAGCCAACAGCGGCAUGUGCCUCCUAGAUGUCUGUUUCAACGAGCGUCAUUAUCCUGCCUUUGCUCUACGCUCUACCUCAGGCCUCACAGGUUGUUGCAAGAAUUAAAUGAAAACAUGCCCAAUAUUAUGUCUGGUGCAUACUAGGCCCUCGAUAAAUGUUACCUUGUUUUUAUGAGUACUAUUCAACAGAAGAAAGUUAGAUGAGGUGGUGGCUUAGCGGAAAGAACAGCAGCUCUAGCAUGGAAAAGCUUCGGGGCGGGGCGGUGCCCAGCAGAGUCUGUGGUGCGUGCGUGGGCAAGUCCCGUGUCCUCUCUGGUCUGCUUCCCCCGAAUACAGGAAAAGUAAUUCCUGCCUCCUAGUGCUUGGUGGGGGCCUGGCUGACAUGUGCAACAUCUGGCAGGUUCUGGGUAAGAAAGCCGGGCCCGGCCCUCUAAGCCUGGAGAAGCAGCCUGGAAGGCUCGGUCGUGGCCACCUGGCGUGAGAGCCAAUCUCUGACAGGGCUGCUCCUGUAUGACCUCCCCAAGCGGGUGAGCCGUGACGCUAAGCCAGCAGACAAGUGCACAAGCAGGUGAACGAACACUUGGGCAGUCUGCAGUCCUGCCCCCUUGGCUGGCAAACACAGGGCCGCUUUUCAAACCGUUUGAUGCCCCAGUCCUUCCAGGAACUACUGUUCUUCCAGAUGUUCCUAACAGUGAAAUCAGAGGCAUUUGGUGAAAACCCAGAGUGAGACGGUAAAGGCACCUGCACUGGCUUGGGGUCCAGGUGUCCUAUGAACCGAAAUCACAGCAGCAAAUGGAAAACACGGGGCAUGUGUGUGUUUUAAAAGUAGAAACCCUAUUUUCCUCAGCUCCAUUAGGAUUCAAAGUUCAUUGCCUGCCGGUCUACCUUUGCGGGCUAAUUUUGCUAGAAACUGCUGCUUACAGCAAAGAAAGAACGUCUGGCUACUUUGGUUCACAGCAUAGGCUCUUUCAGCGAGAAGGAAUUAGGAAGAAAAGAGUGAAAAGGAAUUAAGGAGAAGAAAGGAGUCAACUACCUUUGAAAGAGGCCGUUCUGGGAAGAGGUGGUAGAGACCCGCCGGGGUCAUGGUGACAAUCCCCACCGUCACGUAGUGGUCAGCCCGCGCCAUUCACGGCGGCAAGGAUCGUGUGGGAGUUAUAAGAUAGAUGGAGCUGGCCCCUGUGGUUGGGGGAGGGGGCCCGUGAACAGAGGGCUCUUUUUCCUAAUUAGCUGUUUUUAUACAGGGAACACAUGACCCAAACACAACCACCAACUGUGUCUUUGACAUAUACAGGCAGAAAGGGGGAGCUGGGCUUUUGUCUGCCGCAAAUUCUUUCAACUUGUCCGUCACCCAAGCUGCAAAACCCAACAAUGAGUCGGAUGAGCAGGACCGUUGCAGACAGUUUGCUAAAUGGACUUGGAAACAGGUAUUAUUUCAACCCACUUAGGCUUGGAAAAUACUGUAAAAGUGAAAUUGGGUUACUAUCUCCGUCUUUUCUUUCCUAAGAGAUUUGUGACCAUUUCUGCCAUUUGUCUGAGUUUCCGGUGUGUCCCCAAAUAGCGCGUGGUUCAAAAAGAAAUAAACACACUUCAAGUUUUUCUUAGUGAUAAAUGCAACGCUUUCGUAGAACCCUAACUGUUCUACUGCCCCAACUUCCUUUGUCACAUUAACUUAAUAUGAACCAAUGAAUUUCAAAGAAUACUGCCAAGUGAAUUACUUUCCCUGUUGAAUGAAGGGUACUCAGUAAUAUACAUAAUCAGUUUAAGACCCAGCAAACUGAAGAAUAAGGGACAAAGCGAAAAGGGAUGCUGGCUUUGUGGAUGUGUGUUAUGUAUGUAUAUCGACAGGUGCGAUCCUGUUCAUUCUUUGAUUUUGAAGCAAUGAAAAAAAUCUCAAAUAUUUUUCAAACAUUCGCCUAACUGAAAGCAGUUACACACAAGUGAUUUUCCCAGAACCAGAGGUAACGUGUGCUAACACUAAGUAGGCCGAGCUGGAAGUCAUCAAAACGCCAUGCUUGAGGGCACUGCCCAGGUAGCAGCCACCAGAGCACUUCCAUCCGCGGCUCAGAGAGGACGACCCCCAUCUGUAGCCAUGGCGCAGGCCAGCGCAGAGAACUUCCCAGUGCGGAGAUUAAAGAAAUCUACAACAAAACACUUCUCCAACUGGGGAAACACAGUCUUUCAUGGACAGAGCUGUUUAGAAAAAAUAGUGCCGCCUUUGUUUCACUACAUACUCGCUCCGUUGUAUAGCACAACUGGAAAAUGGUGACAAGACCAUAAAAAGCUGGAUGGAAAAGUGUCAAAUUAAACCCAGAGUGAAACCCAGAGCUGAUUGGCUUAAUUGGAGAUAAUGAGAAAUGAAACCACAUCUCUGCUUGCAAAGUAAAAUAGUGAGCAAGACGCAAUUACCCAGAAAACGUACCAACAGCCCUUUGCCGAAAUGCCUAGAAAUGUGAGGCCAAAGCACUUUGAGAUUUCAAAUGUCUGGAUGAUGCCUUAAAGUUUCCCUUCACUUUGCUAAUGAUGACCUGGACCCAAUGCAUCAUCCAUUCUUUCCAGUGACAAGUAGAAAACCACGUCCCACAAUGCAGCAUAGCAAUCACCCCAAGUUGGUGUUAGGUUCCUGCCUGCAGACCAUGAUAAGCGCCCCUGGGCAGAGAUUUCCAGGCCCGUUUACAAUGGAAGCAGCAGGCAUGUACUUGGGUAGGGAGGUGAGGAGGACCCAAGGGAAAAAGAACGUAAAAGUCCCCUUCUAGGGAUCCGACUGGCGCACACUGUUAAAGAAGCUUUAGCUACUCUCCCCACUGCUGGAGCGUCAAUCGAGCCAUGUGCAAAUGUUCAAACUCAGAGGCUUCUUCUGCUUCCCAGUCUUGGGAAGUGCACACAGUGGAAUUCUGCAAAAUAGUCCCCGGAGGCAGGAUUCACUGGGGACACCCGGCAACAGGGGUGCACAAACAGUGCUAUCUACUCCUCUUUAAGCUCAGAUAGUACUCUCUGUGUGAGAAACUGCAUUUUCCAAUUUGCAUGCUUUUUAGCACGCAAUGCCAUCUUUCUCCCCGGAAGUCCUGAUGAUGAUGUGUCCUUCCAGAACACACACAUUUCAGGGUGAUGUCCUUGUGGGCCCAGGGACAGGAAGUGAGAUCACGGCUGGUUCUGGAGAGGUGGACUUCACACAUGAAACCCAGAGAAACAGGGUUUGGAUAUGAGGGGGGCUGGGGCGGCCUUACCAAAGCUGGGGGCACUAUGCAAGGUCAUGUCCCGGAUCACCCUGGUGCCGAAACAGGACCACAUCAGGAGGAACUGCUGAGCCACUUUCUUCAGGGACCCUUGUCUCUUGGCAGCCACCUACAAGAAAGUGAACGGCUUAAACAGGGGUCAACUCAACCUUUCCUUUAUGACUGUCUGUCUGAAAAAUGAUAGGAAGGCUUAUGGAUCUCCAAGUUCAAUGCUAUGGAACAAUGGCUUUUUGACUUUCUGUUUCUACCAGCAAAAAUUCACUUUAGAAAAUGAAAGCUGAUGUCGGGACCCAGUUUACACCGCAGACGAAAGAGAGACGCUGACCUGGCUGAAUCAGGGGAAGGAGACUCAGGGUCCUGCCUCCUGCAACCCCCGCCUCGGGAGGGGGCCCAGGCCUCUGCUCAGAACCCCAGGGCUCCGUGGCUGCUGAGGAAUGCUCAGACAGCUCAGUGCGGGGCUCUGCAUCUCCCAAGUGCCACGAAGGUGAGUGUUGGGGGGCAGUGCCGGGGCUGCUCUUCCCGCUCCAGCUUACCAACCUUCACAACACACCGGUCCACCAUGGUGUCUAGCCACUCGAUGUAGGACUCGAUGGGAGACUGCUCCUCCAGGAGGUGGUCAAACUCCUGGUACACUGUCAAACAAAGGAGAGCCCCCACACGUCACUGCAGCUGUGUCUACACAGAGCCACAGCUUAAAAGAUCAAAGGAAUAAAACUGAAUAAAAACAAAACUCCAGCCUCAACGGAGCACUCAGACUUCAGAAAGCAUGCCCCGACUUACCUUUCCAGGCUCAUCUUCGCAGCCUGUGAACACCAGAAAGCCCGGCUACCACGGAUAGCUUGCAUUCCCCCCAACAAACCCUGCUUUUCUCAGGCAGUUCCCUUCUCUCGGACCGUCUGGUUCCUCAGGGCCCAGCCCAGCCGAAAUGGCCCUUCUUGUGACAUCCUUUUUCCCCUCCCCGGGCCCCUCGCCAGCAGAACUGAUCGCUCAUCCUCUGUGCUUCCACGGCAUUUUAUUAUCCGUAUUCCACCUUUACUGCAUCAGUGAUGCUGUGUUACGGUUGUGAGGGCGGGGGUGUCUCCCAUGCCAGCUCUCUGUCCGACCUCUUUCUUAGCUGAGGCCGUCCCUAGCCUCACACAGCCGUUAUCCAGGACGUGCUUCCUUGCACGAACGGGCACAGACAUCGCAGCUCCCUUGCUCUCUGCCUCAUGGUAGGGCUUCUGAACCACAGCUACGUCGGGCAAAUAGCUCUAACCAGCCUCUCGGAGCUUGGCAUGUAGCAGAUGCUUACUCAUUGUUCACAGCAUAAAGGAGACAAUCUCCACGCCCUUAGUUUCUGCACUAGUAACAGGAGGACCAUUGUACCACUGAUCACCUGUCUUCAGCUGCAUGUCAGGUAACUGAGUCUGGAAGGGCUGUGUGAUUGGUGAAGUCAGCAGAAAACAGAAACACUGCUGUGGUUUGGAACAUCUCUUCUGAUUGCCAUUUCUGUGGUUUGGUUUUUUUUUUACAUGUGGAGCUCAGUAAACCAAACCAUGCAUUCAGACCCACAUGUUUCUACAGUUUUAAAUUUGCCUGGGCGGUUUCUGUCGUCCCAUUCUGUGGGCCUGGCCAAUGCAUUCCAUUUUCCUGAGCUGAGGACUGCCACGGAGGUCAGCUGCCGGGGCCAGGAGAUCCAGACAGUUUAGAAUGAGAAGGGGCUGAAUGAGAAGUCCGCUGAAUUGGUAUCUGCGUCCUCUUAUGGACGAGGAAGCUAUGUCCCAAUGAGAUUAAGUGACCCCUCAAAGGCAAAGGGUAAGUGAGGGCGGCCAGAGAGGGACUGGAGUCCAUGCCUCUGACUUCCCUGAUGUUCCCGUUCUCCUGAUAGCACUGUCACCUCGCAGGUGGUGAGGCAAAUGCUUGCGGCUGACAUUUACGGGGUUCUUGCUGUGUGCCAGGCACUUCCCUAAUGACACGGACACUCUCACCCCACCUACAGCAACCUCGAGAAUGUGAUACAGCAGUUGCUCAAAUGUUUGUUGAAUGAACGGAUGAACAACCCGAGAAGGCAGGUAUGAUUUCUACUUCCCAUUUUACAGAUGAGGAAGUGGAGGCACUCGGAGGUGAGUGACUUUCUGCAGGUCUCACAGCUAGCGAAUAGGAGAGGCAGGUUUCAAACACAGCCUGACUCGACGCUCGCCUCCUAACCCUGGCACUGUACCGGCUCCACACUGUGUGCCAGGCACCCACACGGUGCGCAUGCUGCCCCAUUUAAUCCCUCCACAUUGUCCCCGUGUCAGAGACUUGGAAGCCAGGGUCACAGUACACUGGAGCCAGGGUUUGAAUCAAGGUCUGCUGGGCACCCCGACUGUCUGCUCUUACCACAGUUAUUCUCAUCAGUCUGCCCAAGUCCUGAUGUGCACUUGUGAAUUAAGGGGAGCCUUCCCAGGCAGGGCCUGAUUCACAGAGGUGAUGGAAACCCCCCUGAAGCAGGAACGUGUAGGUUUGACAACUAGCUGUAAGGAAAGGUCGAUACACACACACCAUUGGUGCAGCACACAGCUGUGUUCAGGAACUUACUUCUCGGCUGUCUGGUGGGCGCUGCAGGAUGAUGCUUGUGUGCCAGGCCACCUGCCUUGAGGGCUGGUGCCCUUGCUCAAUCCCCCCUGUUCCAGGCACUGCAUCAUAUGGCAUGUCCUCUUUGGAAACGUUCAACCAUUCGUAAAUUACUUGUUUGAUUUCUGAUUGGCCAUUAGCUCUAAGCUCUACAUGGGAAGGGCAGUAUCCAUAUUAUUCACUGCUUUUUGUCCAGCUUCUAACACAGUGCCUGGCCCAGGACAGGCAUUCAGCAAGAACCAGCUAGGUGGACUGAACCUCGUCACCCCCUUCCAUUAGAAGAGGAGUAUGAUCAUGGGUCUAAAAGGUACCGUUCGAUCCCGGGCCUAAGAGAACUUGAAGAGAAAACUCCCCAAAGUUUCUUCUUGGAGACGCUGCAGUAACAUCCGAGGGGCUCCAGCAAAGGCUCAGAGCCUGGUCCCCAAAGCAAGUGAUGGUGACUUUCCCCUGUGCAUUUCCCCUUUGUUUUCCUCCACAAAAGGUGCUGAGUGGGGAAGACAGCGGGGUCUCAUGCUAUUGGGAGUCGUAUCAUUCUGGGUUUCUGCUCAUCUGUUUGGUCCUGCAUAGACAUUACUGGCAUCUGUCCAUGGCUGGCCUGGGACGAGACCCUGGGGACACAACGAUCAGUGUGUUAGGGGGUCUAGUGCUGUUAGGGGGCAGACACCAGUGCUUUCCAUUGGCCUUGUAGCGGGCAAUAGGGACAAACAGGACAGGAGGCAUGAUUGCAAGAACUUGGAAAGACCCUGCAGCUUCUGGGACUUGCCCAUAUCUCAUCAUUUUGUCUCCUCUGCUCUUCCCAGCGGGCAACACCAGUACGUGGUGGUGACAUGCAGGUUUGAGCGCAGCCCUGUCGCCUGGGGUGAGGCUGAACACUCUCUGGGACUGAGUCUGGUCCUCUGUAAAACGGGGGUGGUGGGUAUCUUCCCCAUGGGCUGAUGUAGAGAAUUAAUGAGAUCCCGAGUGUGGUAGGUCUGACACAGACUAGGCAGUCCGUGAGCUCAGUCAUUAUUUUCGGGAGCAUCUCUAAAGCUCUUACCAGGGGAAAGCGGGCUGGGGGCUGCUGUGGAAGAUGGGACAGUGUCCAUGGAGCUCUGGGGAAGAAGCCCUAGGGAAGGUCCAAGGGGUUCAGGUUUCAGCUGUUCCAGGUGCUUUUGGAAAGGGCUCAGUGGGAAAGAGGCCCCUAACAGGAACUUCCUUUUUUAUAAACGCCACAUGCUUAGGCUGGCUGAAGAAGGUUCCCUCAAGAGGACAUACAGAAGGCAUAUACAGGAAAUCUGAGGGGCCUGGGGCUCUUGGGAGAACAGACCCCUCUUCUCGGGACACAGCCACUGUGCAGCUUCCUGAAUAAUGUACUGUCAGGAUCUGGGGCCUCACCCCACUCGGAAGGUAAGAGCACCCCAGCUGUCACAUCCCCCCCACCUCCAGCCAUACUCAGCACCCACCUUCCUGAGAGCUGGUGGGAGGAGUGUGGACUCACCGUUCCAUACUCCUCUCCUCCAGAGGCAUGAGAAAGGAAGGCUGAGCACUGAGGAAGUUGCCAGUAGACCCCCAUCUGGGGCGGCCGGGUGCAGGAUGCCCUGGGCAGCAGGCUGUGGGGGCGUUUGAGGAACAGCAGAGAUGUGCUGACAGCGGUCAUGGUCUCUGGCCUCCUCAAGUCCUCCACUACUAAGAACAACCAACCUGACCUUAUCCAGAGAACACGAGGAGCGGUAUUCCUCCAGUCUUGGUCCACAGGAACGUGAACAUAUAUGCACAGAGGUAAACCACCAUCCAUUCCUUCUCCAACAUUUACUGUGAUUGAAAGGUUCACCUGCCAAUAGGUGAGCUGACUGACCCUCUGCUGAAAAACAGGCAGCCCGUCUGCCUCCAGGCUGACAUACACUCAGACAGACAACAAGCUUUUGUUCUCAUUUUUGUAUGCCACCUAUGGAACUAUUUCUGGCACCGAAGGGUCACAUCCGGAGCCUUUUGCAUAACACUGUGUGCUGCCCAACUGGACCAGGCCCCCUUUUCCCCAGCAAUGUUGACACACGUCCUUUUAAAUCAAUUAGCCCUCCCAUCUGGGCUGACCCAUUUAACAGGAACAAUAAGAGGGAAGGGAUCCUAGGGGGAAGGACAGGGUGGGACUCUCACUUAAAUAUUUACCAAGAUACAUUUUCUUUCUUUCUUUCUUUUAAAAACAAAACCAGAAAAGACACAAUCCUUGGUGGAACAUCUUACACUGGAUGAUGAGUUUCCGGUGCUCGUCGCGGGAGUCUUCCAUGGUAUAGAGGGUUUGCUUGGUGAUGCUGUUGAGAUCCACGUUCCUCCAGUCUUCCAGCAUUUGGAAUGUGAUGUCUGCACUAUGGAUUACUGUCCGAGAUGCCUAUAAUCCAAUCCAAUCAACUCAUUAGCUCAUGGGUUGUUAGGUUAAAACCCCUGCAUGCUAUUUUCUUUUUAAUGAAUCUGAAUAUGGUAUUUUGCAAACUACUUUGAAAUUAACUAAGGAAAACUCAAUUUCAGGAAAUCAGCAGAUAAGCCCAUAACUCAGAAGACCCAUACACUCUUUUCCCUUGUGGCUCUCUUUUCUCAUCUUUAUAAAACAUUACUCCAGGGUGGCCUAGGCUAGACCAAACCCUGCUGUUCCCAGUCCCUUUGGUCUUGACCCCUGGGGAACAAUGGGAUGAAGCCCAGAGAUCUGUCAGCCUUCUGAUGUAAGCCUGUGGGAUGGGAGCUCUGUGCUUAAUGAUGUGUCUCUAGUGCCUGAGAAGCAACGGGCUCAGACCUGGGAAUGGACCUGCUACCCGUGGGCCUAUGGUAGCUUUAAUCCCCCAAAUUUUACAACGUGUGUUUUUCAUA